CACUGAGGGCUACCCAGUGUUCUGAACACAAGAAAACAGAUUAGUAUGGCCCCUGUAUAAGGAUGAUAUGCAAAUUCAUGUAGUGUUCCACACUAAA
ensembl:snRNA predicted gene, 24226